CCCUCCUGGGCUCCCCUCCCUCCCGCCCCGCACCCCACGUGAAGCGGAAUAUAAAGGGGGGUGUGUGAGUGGAGGGGAAAGUGAAUGGCCAAGGACUGAAGGGGUCCCCCUCCGGUUCCCCAGCCACCUGGUUCACCCGGUUCAUCCUCCCUUCCCGAAGCUAGCCCUCGAAGGCAGGAGCAGCCGGCGCCUUCGGCAGAGGAGGAGGAGGAGGAGGUGGAGGAGGAAUCGCGUCGGGCGGAGCUUCAGGUCCUGUUCUCCUCUCCGGCUUCUCCAUACAAAGAUUACGGUGCAGAAGGAAAUUGCACUCGCCUCCUCCGCCCCCCCGGUACCCAGCACAAUGCACCAGCCGCCCGAGUCCACUGCCGCGGCGGCCGCCGCUGCAGACAUUAGUGCUAGGAAGAUGGCGCACCCGGCAAUGCUCCCUCGAAGGGGCAGCGGUGGUGGCGGCGCCUCUGCUCUCAAUGCAGCAGGUACCGGCGUCAGUAGUGCUGCUCCAUCUUCUGAGGAUUUUCCUCCUCCUUCGCUGCUCCAGCCGCCGCCUCCUGCUGCAUCUUCCUCGCAGGGACCACAGCCUCCGCCUCCACAAAGCCUGAACCUCCUCUCGCAGGCUCAGCUGCAGGCACAGCCUCUUGCGCCGGGUGGAACUCAGAUGAAAAAGAAAAGUGGCUUCCAGAUAACUAGCGUUACUCCGGCUCAGAUCUCUGCCAGCAUCAGCUCUAACAACAGCAUAGCAGAGGACACGGAGAGCUACGACGAUCUGGAUGAGUCUCACACGGAGGACCUGUCUUCUUCGGAGAUCCUCGAUGUGUCGCUCUCCAGGGCCACUGACUUGGGUGAGCCUGAACGCAGCUCUUCAGAAGAGACUCUGAAUAACUUCCAGGAAGCCGAGACCCCCGGGGCAGUCUCUCCUAACCAGCCCCACCUUCCUCACCUCCCACAACAGAACGUUGUGAUCAAUGGGAAUGCUCAUCCACACCACCUCCAUCACCACCAUCACGUUCAUCACGGGCACCACCUUCACCAUGGACACCACCACUCACCCCACGCUGCCGUGGCCAGCCCGUCCAUCCCUGGAGGGCCACCCUCGAGCCCAGUGUCCAGAAAACUCUGUACAGCUGGAAGUUCUGAUGGUGGUGUGCCAGUUGUACCUACUUCUGCUGUAUCAUCGAGUGGCUUGCCCGCAUCUGUGAUGACUAAUAUCCGUGCUCCAAGUACUCCAGGCAGCAUAGGUAUAAAUUCUGUUACUGGCACGAAUGCAACCAGUAAUGUUAACAUUGCUGCUGUGGGUAGUUUCAGUCCUAAUGUGACAAGCAGCGUGCUUGGUAAUGCUAAUCUAAGUACAAGCAAUAUUCCUAAUGCUGCUAGUGUAAGUGUUGGGCCUGGAGUUGCCAGUGGUGUUAAUGUGAAUGUCUUGAGUGGCAUGGGCAAUGGUACUGUUUCUUCCUCUCCUAUUGCUAACAGUGUCCUUAAUGCAGCUGCAGGUAUCACUGUGGGAGUGGUUUCAAGUCCGCAGCAGCAGCAGCAACCAACAGUUAACACGUCAAGGUUCAGAGUUGUGAAGUUAGACUCUACCUCUGAGCCCUUUAAGAAAGGUAGAUGGACUUGCACUGAGUUCUAUGAAAAAGAAAAUGUCCUGCCGGCUACAGAAGGCGCGGCGAUUAAUAAAGUGGUGGAGACUGUGAGGCAGACCCCGGCGGAAGUGUCUUCGGAGAGGGAGAGCACUAGCGGGAGUUCCGUGAGCAGUAGUGUCAGCACACUGAGUCACUACACAGAGAGUGUGGGAAGCGGAGAGAUGGGAGCCCCUGCUGUGGUGGUGCAGCCGCAGCCGUCACCGGGUCUUCAAGGUGUGGCCCUCCAGCAGAUAGAUUUCAGUAGCCCUGGUUCACAGAGUAUUGCAGCAGUGAGUAUACCACAGAGUAUUUCUCAGUCACAGAUGUCACAAGUACAAUUACAGCCUCAAGAAUUGAGCUUUCAGCAGAAGCCAGGCCUUCAACCUGUACCUCUGCAAGCCACUAUGAGUGCAGCCGCCGGUAUCCAGCCUUCCUCCGUCAACGUGGUUGGUGUCACGUCAGCUGUAGGUCAACAGCCUUCCAUUUCCAGUUUGGCUCAACCCCAACUGCCGUAUUCUCAGACAGCUCCUCCAGUGCAAACUCCUCUUCCAGGGGCACCACCCCAGCAGUUACAGUAUGGGCAACAGCAACCAGUGGUUUCUACACAGAUAGCUCCAGGCCAUGGCCAGUCGAUGACUCAAAAUCCUACUUCAGAGUAUGUACAGCAGCAGCCCAUUCUUCAAGCAGCGAUGUCCUCGGGACAGUCCAGUUCUGCAGGAGCAGGAGCAUCAGUGAUCCCUGUGGCUCAGCCCCAGGGAAUCCAGCUGCCAGUGCAGCCCCCAGCAGUGCAAGCACAACCUGCAGGGGCAUCUGGGCAGCCCAUUGGCCAGGCUCACACAGCAGUGCCUGCUGUACCAACCGGCAGUCAAAUCGCAAGUAUUGGUCAACAAGCAAACAUGCCCACUGUAGUACAGCAGCCAUCCACCCAAGUUACACCUUCAGUUAUCCAGCAAGGUGCUCCUCCAUCUUCACAAGUAGUUCUACCUGCUUCAGCCGGGAUUCUUCAUCAGGGAGUUCAAACUAGUGCUUCAAGCCUUCCUCAACAGCUGGCUAUCGCACCCCAGAGUACCUUGUUAACUGUGCCUCCCCAGCCGCAGGGAGUAGAAACAGUGGUUCAAGGAGUUGUUUCCCAGCAGUUGCCCACAGGUAGUCCUUUGCCCUCUGCUAGUAGUAUUUCUGUUACAAAUCAGGUUAGUUCAGCCGGUCCUGCUGGAAUGCCUUCUGCCCCACCAAACUUAGUUCCACCACAGAAUAUAGCACAACCCCCGGCUACCCAAAAUGGCAGUUUGGUUCAAAGUGUUAGUCAAUCUCCCUUGAUAGCCACUAACAUAAAUUUGCCUUUGGCACAGCAGAUACCACUAAGUUCUACUCAGUUCUCUGCACAAUCAUUAGCUCAGGCCAUUGGAAGCCAAAUCGAAGAUACCAGGCGCCCAGCGGAGCCCUCCUUAGCCGGCUUACCUCAGACUAUCAGUGGUGACAGUGGGGGACUGUCAGCAGUUUCAGAUGGGGGUAGCAGCAGCCUAGCAGCCUCUGCUUCUCUCUUCCCGUUGAAGGUGCUACCGCUGACAACACCCCUGGUGGAUGGCGAGGACGAGAGCUUUGGUAUGUUUCCAAACUGGCUGCCAGAGCCAGGAGGAAGGAAGGCAGUAGACACUAACUGUUGGUUACUACCUCCUUAAUGCUGAGACUAUAACCGUUGUUGGUUUAUAGAGAGCAGGAGAGAGCCCAGCCCUCGUUCCACUAACAGGUAAGGAACCCUUGUGAUAACCAGUCGUGUGAGAGGGAAGUAACUUGUAGAAUUUUUGCCCUUCAUUUACCCAAAAUAUAACAUGUCCCAGAAAUAGGACACCAUGGCUGACUAAUCAGAGAGCAGGGACACACGGCACUUUUAUAGUUAGUGGGAGGUCUUCAGCUUUAACUGUACCACAAAGAUAAUCAUUUUCCCCGAGGCACUACUGUUAAUUCCUGUGACUUUACAUACAUGCCUGCCUCUCUGGUUCUCCUUUCAGCUUUCCCUUGCUCAGAUGCUAUGUGCUUUGAACCUCUGUCCUAUAUACGAUAAAGCUGGUUUCCAGGAUCUUUAGCAUCAUCUAUUGUUAGCUCUAUUUCAGUGCUUCUCUCCUACCAGAGGUGCAAGGAGUGAUCCUAGAGCCACAGAUACAAGACCACGGAGAGCUUUUGACGCCAGGGUCCACUUUCUCCACUGAACCCUUGGAGACAGAAUGCCCAGCUUCUGGAGAGAGUGGGAGAGGAUAAUAAACAAGUGGGUGCUUUCCAUUCUUUACUUGGGUUUAUUUAUAGAGUGGAGUGUCCUUCUGUUGCCCAUUUUAGUCAGUUGGUAAUCUCCUUGGCUUCUUACAAGAACCAGGUGGGACUGCAAUCUCUGUUUUUUCUGAGAAUACUAUGUAGUGCCCAUUCAAAAAAAAAAAAAAACCAAAAAUAAAAUUUAUUGAAUUUUCUCUCCAGAUAAUUAAAGCAGUACCUAAUCUGGGGCACACACACAUGAUUUGGUCUAUGCCUGUGUUGUUCACAGAAAUUUAAGAAAGGCAGUAAUUCCCCACUUUGGCCUUUAUUGUAACAGUGAACUGGAUAGAGUUCUUAUAGAGUCCUGCGCUUCUUCCUUGGGUGAGCUGGACAUCUGAGAUCUCUUAAUUUAUAUAGUUGAAUGUCCAGUUGUCACCCUGCCCUGUUAGUGAGGACUCUUUGGUCUUUUCCUACUAAAUGUUAGGCCUUCACACUCAAGUCUCUUAGGAGAUGGAAUGAUAGUACUGUUGUGGCUUUACUGUCAAAAGUAGGUUUCAUCCUUUAAUAAAAUAUAUAUGAAUGAGUAUAAAUUUCAGGAUUUAAUGUCCCUGACAGUUACAUUCAAUAUACUCAAAAGUAGUUUUCUAGUCCCUAGGAAUGACUAGAUUUUUCCUAGAGCAUUAAGAUGGUUCUUUGUUAGUUUCUUUGAUGCCAAGGGUAGGGUCUGAGUCCAGGCAGUUCUUACAUCUACAGUGGGUAGAAUGUGAAGUUGGUGCUUUGGCAAGUUUUCAUUGUUUCCUUGGUGGCUUCCUUCUGUGACUCCAGGUAUCUUGAUAAUGGGAGACCGGUUUAUGUGUUCUCUAAUUGCCCAGAUUUCUUUCAACUGGUAAAACAUGAUCCCUCUUCAGCAAAAGGAACUCCUCUAGCAGAGCCCACAUGGACGAUGUGUGUGUCACACAUGCCAGCACCUGCAGUUUGGAAGGCAGUGGUGAAUGGAUCCAUGCAGUAUGUCUAGAAGACACAAGGAUGAGCCAGCCACCUGAUCUUGUUUCUCACAGUCGUUUUAAGAUUUAUUCUGGGUUAUUUUUGGUCUGAAAUGGAAAGGCUCAAAUAAUGAAGUAAUCUUUUCAUAUUGGAGUUUCAUAUGGCCUUGAAAAUCCUUCUUAUUCUGAAGACUGAAAUAGAGGAAGCUUGAGAGUCCUGUCUUUCAAAGCAGCUCUCUGUAUCUGUUCACUUACAGGAUUUGUGGGACUGAAAAUCAUUUUAAUCAAGUAUGCAUCCCCCACUUUAAAACAUAGCAUAAAUACACAGAAAGUUUGAUAACCCCCUCUACUCCCUCUUCCCUUACCCAGUGCUAAAGGGGACUAGCAAAUAAAGGGUAAACCCAACUCUUCAAGAGUCUGUUAAUGUUCGAUGUACUCUUAGCUCAUCCCUGGCUGGUCCUGAUCCUUAUUCUUACUGUAAUUUAUCAAAUUUACAAAGUUGUAGAGCUAUCUCGGCAACCAGCAGAGUCUGGUCUGUGUUCCUAAGUAGUAAAUGCCUGUUAGGGUUUCCUCUGCACUAGGCAUACUACACUUGAAUGACGCAGAGCAGUUGGUAUGGAGUGGUGAUAAUCCAAAGAGUCACUGAACCUGCAGGUGUGAAUGAAUGUAGUUAUCCAGAUCACUGCUUGAGAGGAGCUACCAAACAAUUGUUUCUUUGGUUAUCUAGUAACUCUCUAGAAGCCAGUCAAAGCUGUUAAGGAAAACUGUAAGUCAGCUGAUGCUGCCAGCUCCUUUUAAUUUGGAAUAAGUUUUAAGAAGAGAAAUUGUAUAACAAUAACAACUGAAAUAUUAGGCGAUCAAAGUGUAAAAGCUACAUUUGCUAAAAUAUAAUCUGCUUUUAGACUCUCUUGGCUAUAAGAACUAUUUUUUCUUAUAAAUAUAAACAUUUUUCUAAAGUACAAUGUUUAAAAGUAAAUUUUAAAGAUAAUUUUGAACAGAAAAUUUCCCCACAGAACUCUGAAAUCCCAUGAAUGAUUACAGUUUUGUAUUCCUGACUUAAUAAGAUCCUUCAUGAAUACAUAUAAACAAAAAACCAAAUUCCCUAACAUUUUAGUAAGAACUCAGGGAACUGAAAGUGAGAUUUGCCUAGAAAUUGAGCUUCAUUCUUUAAAUGAUUGUAGAAACCAUUUUAUGGCCUGAGAUCACUAGCCUUUUGUCUCAGCACUGAAGACAGAGAGAGAUUUAAGCUUGGAAUCUCAAGCUUUAAUUAAUUUCAGCUCUGUUCUUAAAGUAUGCAAAAGAAAUGCCAGUGCAUUUCCAUUACCUCAUGCACUGGAAGCUAUUUCAAAGUGAAACUUUUUGUAUAUUACUGUGUACUGAUUUGUUUAAACUUUUAAUUUUGAUGCAUUUUCCUUUCAGAUUUUAAAAGAACAAUUUCGUGUCACAAUAUGCAAUCCUUUAUCAUUUACGUGUUUAUUUUAUGAAUAUAAGUUAUUUUCUAGAAUGAUUAAUUGUGUAAUAUUUGUAUUAUGUGAUCAUUUGAAAACUAAUAAAUAUUUUCUCCAUGGAAAAA